GACGAACGCUGGCGGCGUGCUUAACACAUGCAAGUCGAACGGAGCUAUUUAUUUCGGUAGAUAGCUUAGUGGCAAACGGGUGAGUAACGCGUAGGCAACCUGCCCUCAGGAUGGGGACAACGGCUCGAAAGAGCCGCUAAUACCGAAUGACGUAACUCUUCCACAUGGAAGAGAUACUAAAGAUGGGUCAAACCAUCGCCUAAGGAUGGGCCUGCGUCUGAUUAGCCAGUUGGUGAGGUAACGGCUCACCAAAGCGACGAUCAGUAGCCGGUCUGAGAGGAUGAACGGCCACAAUGGGACUGAGACACGGCCCAUACUCCUACGGGAGGCAGCAGUGGGGAAUCUUCCGCAAUGGGCGAAAGCCUGACGGAGCAACGCCGCGUGAGUGAAGAAGGUCUUCGGAUCGUAAAGCUCUGUUGUCGGGGACGAAAGAGUAGACGAGGA
rnacentral:rRNA from 1 species